rnacentral:lncRNA from 1 species
GCAUCGCAAGAAGUUUGGCUUGCGGAGAUCGGAGGCGUCUCGGAAAAACAAUUCAUUUUUGUAGUAAAUUAACAUCGUUCGCUCAGUUUCCCGGAUUGAAUAAAUGCUUCGAGUGCAUUGCAACAGAUGCCGAUUUGCACAUAAGUUUCUUGUUUUUCGGAAAUGAUUUAACGAAUAUGUUUAAUUACGGUAACCACCAAGCUUAUUUCGUGUGAAGCAACUGCCAUGGCAAUAAUCUGGAAGCUGAUUGGAAUGUUUUUUCGAAUGAAGAACUCGCUGCUGCUGUUUUAUUGAUAGACCGAGUCGUAAUUAAAGGAUUGUUCGAUCCAAGUCGAUGGAAUGAAAUGAUAAGGUACGUUCUGCUAUUAUACUUAAAGACUCUCACACUCUGGUUCAGGAAUGUUGGAAUCGAGUAUUUAUAGUGAAAAGCGCAUUCAAAAAUGAUGAAGGUUAAACUGGUGGAAAUAUUCUGCCAAAUAUUCGGAAAAGUCACAAACAGGAAAAUAGAAAACUCUUAAAAUAUUUUCUAACACAGUCCAACGAGAGAAUAAAUCUAUUAUAAUCAAUAUUGUAACAAAUAGAUAGAGAUCUAUAUCAAAUAGGUGGGAAAAAAUCUAUUUCCAAUCAUUUAAUAACUUCAAUAAAUUUAAAUUCAUAAUUCUGUCAAUUUAGCGAAAUAUACCCACUUUGCAUUAAACUAAAUUCAAUUUUAAUUUUCAAUUUAAAUUCAAUGUUAAACAAGAUUAAUUACUAAACGUUUAUAAUAAUGCUUUUGAAGCAUAUUUUCUCUAAAAGUUUUAAUUUAAAAUACAUUUCUAGAUAAAAGAUUCAUUUAAAAAGUAUCUUUAAGGAUAAAACAGGCUAAUUUACGUGUUAGUUUUACAUAUUUAGCGUAUCUAAACAAAUCCAAUAUAAUUCCCUUGAUAAAAUCUUUCAAUAAGCGAAUUGCGUUCCCUAAUUUUUGGUAGUUUAAUUUGAACUAGACCUUCUUUAGUGUCGCGAACAUGUUGAAUCUUAAAUUUGUAAAUUUGGAAUAAUCGGGAUUGGGAGAGGAGAUUUAUUGCAUUCGUUUUUUCUUUUCAAUGCGCAUUUUAAGUUUGGGGUGAAUUCAAGUGAUUUAAUUUUUGUUUUCUUCUAUUGGCAUUGUUAGUUUUGGUCAUUUAUACGCUUUGGAAGAAAACAAAUCUUUUAGAUAAAUCACUUCGCAUCGGAACGAAUUGAAAGCUCUAUCGAUGAUCUACUAAGGUUUUAGCCUACAUAUAUUUGAGAGAAAUGGCUGUUUUAUAAAAGGUUCUUACAGGCAAGAAGGAAUUCUACUGAAAAAAUAUAGGGGGCAACUAGAAACUAUGUUUAAAUGUAUAUAUGGGGUUUCAGGUGGUUUUAGAAAGCAUUUUUCAAAAGAUAAGGGAUUCCAUUUGUUUUGUUGAUAGUUCUUUCUCAAGCGCAAUUUUUAAAUCGACAAGUUUUCUUACAGUUUCAUAGCUAAUUACAAAGCUAGAUAAAAUUCAUUAAAAUUCUAAAAUAUGCUAUUGAAUUCAUAAGUGUUGCUUUCAAAAUAUUCCUUUUUAAAAAUUCCACUUGUCAUAGAAAUCAUCAACACUUCCAUAAAACAUUAACUAACAAAUAUGCACAGAAUUGUCCUUGCUUACAACAAAUAAAAUUUUUAAAGUAUUUUAUCAAAACUAUUAAUGACUGCUUAAAUAUUGCUUCAACUAACGAAUCAUACAUAAUACGAAAUUGAAAAUUGAAUAUUUCAAAUUAAAGCUUGUGUACUCUCCGUUCUACGUAGAUGAUGUCGUCCAUAUCGAUUUGUUAUUAUUGUUUCUCGUCGAAAUAAAUCCAGAUAGUGUUCA